rnacentral:rRNA from 1 species
GGCUAACGCUGGCGGCGUGUCUUAGCCAUGCAAGUCGAGCGGACUUAUGGGGUAACUUAUAAGUCAGCGGCGGACGGCGGAGUAACACGUAGCUAACCUACCCUCUGGACGGGGAUAACCUACCGAAAGGUGGGCUAAUACCCGAUGUAGUCAUCCUGUAUAGGGGUGAUGAAAGGUGGGCUUCUGUUUACAAGCUCAUGCUAGAGGAGGGGGCUGCGGCCUAUCAGGUAGUUGGUAGGGUAAUAGCCUACCAAGCCGAUGACGGGUAGCCGGCCUGAGAGGGUGACCGGCCCGAGGGGCACUGAGAUACGGGUCCCACUCCUACGGGAGGCAGCAGGCUAGAAAUUUGGGCAAUGGGGGAAACCCUGACCCAGUGACGCCGCGUGCAGGAAGGAGCCCUUCGGGGUGUAAACUGCUGUCGUGUAGGGAGAAGGGUACUAAGGUGAACAAUCUUAGUACUUGACGGUACUACAGGAGGAAGCCCAGGCUAACCUCGUG